rnacentral:rRNA from 1 species
CGCGGCCUAUCAGCUUGUUGGUGAGGUGACGGCUCACCAAGGCGACGAUGGGUAGCUGGUUUGAGAGGAUGGUCAGCCACAUCGGGACUGAGACACUGCCCGGACUUCUACGGAAGGCUGCAGUCGAGAAUCUUGGGCAAUGCGCGAAAGCGUGACCCAGCGACGCCGCGUGAGGGAUGAAGGCCCUCGGGUUGUAAACCUCUUUUCGAUGGAAAGAAUGCCUUCCCAAUUUAUUGGGAUGGUUUGACGGUACCAUUGGAAUAAGCCACGGCUAACUACGUGCCAGCAGCCGCGGUAAUACGUAGGUGGCGAGCGUUGUCCGGAUUUACUGGGCGUAAAGCGUCCGUAGGCGGUUUAUUAAGUUGGAUGUGAAAGGUUGGGGCUCAACCCCAAGACGGCACCCAAUACUGGUAGACUUGAGUCUCGGAGAGGAGAACGGAACUGCGCGUGUAGCGGUGAAAUGCAUUGAGAUGCGCAGGAACACCAGUGGCGAAAGCGGUUCUCUGGACGAGUACUGACGCUGAGGGACGAAAGCCAGGGGAGCGAACGGGAUUAGAUACCCCGGUAGUCCUGGCCGUAAACGAUGGGCACUAGGUGUGAGGAGCAUCGACCCUCUUCGUGCCGAAGUUAACGCAUUAAGUGCCCCGCCUGGGGAGUACGG